rnacentral:lncRNA from 1 species
AAACGCUCUUUUUGUAGAAUCUGUGAAUUAACAUUUUGGAGCGCACUGAGGCCUAUAGUGAAAAACUGAAAAUCCCACACUAAAAACUAGAAAGAAGCUAUCUGUGAAACUGCUUUGUGACAUGUGCAUUUCACUCACAGAGUUAAAUUCUUUCUGUGAUUCAGCAGGUUGGAAACAUUCUUUUUGGAGAAUCUAGGUAAAGGCAUUUCAGAGCCCACUGAGGACUAUAGUUUAAAACUGAAUAUCCUGCAAUAACCACUAGAAAGAAGCUGCCUGAAAAACUGCUUUGUGGUUGAAAACAUUCUCUUUGUAGAAUCUGAGAAGGAAUAUUUCAGAGCCCACUAAGACCUAUUAUGAAAAACUGAAUACUCCAUGAUAAAAACUAGAAAGAAAGUAUCCAUGAAACUGCUUUUUGAUGAGAGGAUUCAGGUACCAAAUUUAAACCUCUCUUUUCACUCAGAAGGUUUGGAAAACUUUUUUUUGAAGCAUUUGCGAAGAGACAUUUGGUGCCCACUGAGGCCUAUAGUGAAAAACAAAAUAUUCCCUGCAUAAAACUAGAAAGAAGCUAUCUGAGAAACUGCUUUGUCAUAUGUGGAUUCAACUCAAAGAGUUAAGCUUCUUUUGAUUCAGUAGGUUGGAAACACUCUUAUUGUAGCUUAUGUGAAGGGACAUUUUUGAGCCCACUGCAGCCUGUAGUGAAAAACUGAAUAUUCCAUGAUAAAUACUAGAAAGAAGCUGUCUGUGUAACUGCAUUAUGAAGCAUGGAUUAAGUUCAAAGAGUUAAAUCAUUCCUUUGAUUUAGCAGGUUGGAGGCACUUUUUUUUUAGAAUCUGCAAAGGGACAUUUUGGAGGCCACUGAAGCCUACAGUGUAAAACUGAAUAUCCCAUGAUAAAAACUAGAAAAAAAUUAUCUGGGAAACUGUUUUGUGAUACGUGCAUUUCACUCACAGAGUUAAACAUUUCUUUUUAUUCAGCAGGUUAGAAACCCUUUUUUUUUUUAGAAUCUGUGAACGGACAUUUCAGAGCCCACUGAGGCCUAUUGAGAAAAACUGAAUAUCCCAUGAUAAAAACUAGAAUGAAUCUCUCUGUGAAACUGCUUUGUCAUGUGUGCAUUCAGAUCACAGAGUUAAUCCUUUCUUUUGAUUCAGCAGGUAGGAAACACUAUUUUUGUAGAAUCUGCAAAGGGACAUUUUGGAGCCCACUGAGGCCAAUAGUGAGAAAUUGAAUAUCCUGUGAUAAAUACUAGAAAGAAAAAUCUGUUAAACUGCUUGUGAUGUGAGGAUUCAGCACACAGAGUUAAUACUUUCUUCUGAUUUUCCAGGUAGGAAUGAAUCUUUUUGUAGAAUCUGCAAAGGGACAUUCCGAAGGCCACUGAAGCCUAAAGUUUGAAACUGAAUAUCCCACCAUAAAAACUAGAAAAAAUCUCUCUGAGAAACUGCUUUGUGAUAUGUGCAUUCAGCUCACAGGGUUAAACCUUUCUUUUGAUUCAGCUGGUUGGAAAAACUCUUUUUGUAGAAUCUGUGAGGGAACAUUUUGGAGCCCACUGAGGCUUACAGUGAAAAAUUGAAUGUUCUGUGACUAAAACUAAAAAGAAGCUAUCAGUCAGACUGCUUUUGUUGUGUGGAUUCAGAUCACAGAAUAAAGCCUGUCUUUUGAUUCAGCAGGUUGGAAACACUGUAUUUGUAGCAUCUGAGAUGGGACAUUUUGUACCUAAAUGAGGCCCUUAGUGAAAAACAGAAUAUCCCACAAUAAAAACUAGAAAGAAGCUAUCUGUGAAACUUCUUUGUGAUGUGUGUAUUCAUUUCAGAGAGUUAAAGCUUUUUCUUGAUUCAGCAGAUUGGAAACACUCUUUGCAGUAUCAGCAAAGGGACAUUUCAGGGCCCACUGGGUUCAAAUGUCAAAAACUGAAUAUCUUGCAAUAAAAACUAGAAAGAAGCCAUAUGUGAAAUUGCUUUGUGAUGUCUGGAUUCUGCUCACUGAGUUAACCUUUUCUUUUGAUUCAGCAUGUUGAAAACUUUUUUUUGCAGUAUCUGUGAAGAGGCAUUUCAAAGCCAAUUGAGUUCAAAAGUGAAAAACCAAAAAUCACGCAAUAAAAACUAGAAAGAAAUGAUCUGUGAAACUGCAUUGUGAUGUGUGCCUUCCACUCAGAGUAAAACCUAUCUUUUGAUUAAGGAGGCUGUAGACUCUCUUUUUGUAGAAUCUCCAAAGAACCACUUCAUAGCCCACUGAGUCCAAAAGUGAAAAAAAGAAUAUCCCGUGAUAAAAACUAGAAAGAAGCUGAUUGUGAAACUGCUUUCUGAUGUGUGUAUUCUGCUCACAGUGUUAAACUUUACUUUUGAUUCACCAGGUUUAAUACACUCAUUUGUAGAAUCUACAAAGGAUCAUUUCAGAGCAAAGUGAGGCCUAUGAUGCAGAACUGAUCAUCCCACAAUAAAAAGUUGAAAGAACCUAUCUGUGAAACUGCUUUGUGAUGUGUACAUUCAGUUCACAGAGUUUAAUCUUUCUUUUGAUUAAGCAGGUUUGAAACACUCUUUUUGUAGAAUCUCUGAAAGGACAUUUUAGAGCCAACAGGAUAAAAACUUGAAAUAAGCUGUCUGUGAAACUGCUUUGUAAUGUGUGGAGUAAAGUCACAGAGUUAAAACCUUCUUUUGAUUCAGCAGGUUUGAAAUACUCUUUUUUUAGAAUCUGCAAAUGGAUAUUUUGGAGAUGACUUAGUCCUAUAGUGAAAACCUGAAAUAUCCCAUGAUAAAAAACUAGAAAAAACUAUCUGUGAAUCUACUUUGUGGUGUGUAGAUUUAGCUCACUGUGUUGAAGAUUUCUUUUAAUUAAGAAGUUGGAAGAAGGCUUAUUGUAGAAUCUACUAUGGGACAUUUUGGUGCCCAGUUAACCAUAUAGUGAAAAAUCGUGUAUCUUGAGAUAAAAACUGGAAAGAAGUUCUCUGUGAAACUGCUUUGUGAUGUGUGCAUUCAGUUCACGGAGUUAAAUCUGUUUUUUGAAUCAGCAGAUUGGAAACAGUUUUUUGUCAAAUCUGUGAAUAGACAUUUGGGAGGCUACUGAGGCCUGUAGUAAAAAAACGAAUAUCCCGAGAUAAAAAUUAGAAAGAAGUUAUCUGUGAAACUGCUUUUUGAUGUGUGGAUUCAGUUCAGAGUUCAACGUUUCUUUUGUUUCAGCAAGUUGGAAACACCCUUUUUGUAAGUUUGUGAAGAAAUAUUUCAAAGCCCAAUGACACCUUUAUUGAAAAACUGAAUAUCCAUGAUAAGAACUAGAAAAAAGCUAUCUGUGAAACUGCUUUGUAAUGUGUGGAUUCAGCUCACAGAGUUAAACAUUUCUUUUGUUUCAGCAAAUUGGAAGCACUCUUUUUGAAAAAUCUGUGAAGAAAUAUUUUGGAGCCCACUGAUGCCUAUAUUGAAGAAAAGAAUUUCCAUCAACAAAAGCUAGAAAGAAGCUAUCUGUGAAACUCCUUUGUGAUGUGUACAUUCAGAUCACAGAUAUAAACCGUUUUUUGAUUCAGCAGGUUGGAAACACUCUUUCUGUAGAAUCUAUGAGGGGACAUUUCUGAGCCCACUGACACAUUUACUAAAAAAACUAACAUUGUGAGAUAAAAACUAGAAUGAAUCUAUAGGUGAAAUUUCUUUUUGAUGUCUGUAUUCACCUCACAGACUUAAACCUUUCUUUUGAUUCAUUAUUUUGGAAACACUCUUUUUGUAGGUCUGUGAAGGGACAUUUCAGAGGCCACUAAUGCCUAUUGUGAAACAGUGAAUAUCUUGCAAUACAAACUAGAAAGAAGUUAUCUGUGAAAUUAUUUUUUGUUGUGUGAAUUCAGCUCACAGUUAAUCCUUGCUUUUGAUUCAGCAGGUUGGAAACGCUUUUUUUGUAGAAUCUGCAAAUGGAUAUUUUGGAGCCCACUGAGGCUUAUAGUGAAAAACUGUAUAGCCUAUGACAAAACUUUUGAUGAAACCAUGUGUGAAACUACUUUGUGAUGCCUGGAUUCAGCUCACAGACUUAAACCAUACCAUUGAUUCAGAAGGGUGAAAACACUUUUUUUGUUGAAUCUGCGAAAAGACAUUUCAUAGCCGACUGAAGCUGAUAGUGAAAAACAGCAUAUCCCAAGAUUAAAAGUCAAAAUAAGCUCUCUGUGAAACUACUUUGUGAUGGAUGGAUUAAGCUCACAGGGUUAAACCUUUGUUUUGAUUCUGCUGUUUAAAAACACUCUUUUUGUAGAAUAUGUGAAGAGACAUUUUGAAGCCGAUUGAGGACUGUAGUGAAAAACUGAAUAUCCCAAAAUAAAAAUUAGAAAGAAGCUACAUGUAAUACUACUUUGUAACGUGUGGAUUCAUCUCACAAAGUUAAACCUUUCUUUUGAUUCAGCAGUUUGGAAACACUCGUUUUGUAGAAUCUGCGAAGGGACUUUUGGAGCCCAUUGAGGCCUAUAGUGAAAAAAUUAAUAGCCCUAGUUAAAAAACUAGAAAGAUGCUAUCUCUGAAACCACUUAGUGAUGUGUGGAUUUAUCUCACAGAUUUAAACCUUUCUUUUGAUUCAGCAGGUUGGAAACACUCUUUUUGUUCAAUCUGCAAUGGCACAUUUCAGUGCCCAAUGUUGCCUAUAGUGAUAAAAAGGCACUCUUUUUGUAGAAACUGUGAAGGAACAUUUGGGACCUCACUGAGUUCUUACAUGAAAAGCAGAGUAUUCCUCAAUGAAAACUGGAAAGAAUCUAUCUGUGAAACUGCUUUGUGAUGUGUGGUUUCAGCUCACAGAAUUAAAACUUUUUUUUUAUUAUUCAGCUAGUUGAAGCAAUCAUUUUGUAGAUUUAUUUCAGAGCCCACUUACACCUAUAGUGAAAAACUGAAUAUAUUGGAGAAAACUAAAGCAAGCUAUUGUGAAAUUUGUUUGUGAUGUGUGGAUUCAGUUCACUGUGUUAAAACUUUCUUUUGACUCAGGAUGUUGGCAGCACUCUUUUUAUAUAAUCUCCAAAAGGAUAUUUCAGAGCUCAUUGAGGUUAUAGUGAAAAAACGAAUAUCUUAUAAUAAAAACUAGAAAGAAACUAUCUGUUAAACUGCUUUGUGAUGUGAGGAUUCAGCUCACAGAGUUAAAUGUUUCCUUCGAAGAAGUAGGUUGGAAACCUUUUUUUGCAGAAAAUGUGAAGGGACAUUUCCGAGUCCUUUGAAGCCUAUACUGAAUAACCAAAUAUCCCAUGAUAAAAACUAGACAGAAUUUAUUUGUGAAACCGUUUUGUGAUGUGUGCACUCAGCUCACAGAGUUCACAAUUUUCUUAAAUUCAGAGUUAAACGUUUCUUUUGAUUCAUCAGUUUGGAAACACUCUUUUUUAGAAUCUGUGAAGGGUCAUUUCAGAACCCAAUGAGGCCUACAGUGAAAAUUGAAUAUCCCUUGAUUAAAACGAGAAAGACGCUAUCUGUGAAACUGCUUAGAGAUGUGUGGAUUCAGCUCACAGAGUUAAAAUUUGUUUUGAUUCAAUAGGUUGGAAACACUCUUUUUGUAGAAUCAGUGAAGUUACAUUUUGGAGCUCACUGAGACCUAUAAUAAAAAAUGGUAUAACCCAUGAUAAAAACUAGAAUUAAGCUAUCUGUUUUAUUACUUUUUGAUGCAUAAAAACAACUAACAGAGUUAAACUUUUAUUUUAUUUAGUAAAUUGGAACCACUGAUUUUGUAGGAUCUGUGAAGGGACAUUUUGCAGCCUACUGAGUCCUAUAUUGAAAACUGAACAUCCCAUGAAAAAAACUAGAAAGAAGCGAUUGAUGAGAUUUCUUUGUGGUGUGUGCAUUUAGCUCAGAGUAUAACUUUUCUUUUGAUUCAACAGGUUGGAAACACUCUUUUUGUAGAAAGUGUGAAGGGACAUUUCAAAGCCCACUGAGCCCUAAAAUGAAAGAUAAAAUAUCUCAAUAAAAACUAGAAAGAAGGUGUCUGUGAAACUGCUUUGUGAUGUGUGGAUAGAGCUAACAGAGUUAAACCUUUCUUUUCAUUCAGCAAGUUGGAAAUACUCUUUAAGGAGAUACUGUGAAGGGACAUUUCAGAAAAAAACAGAGGUUAAUAUUGAAAAAUUGAAUAUCCCAUGAAGAAAAACUAUCUUUCAAACAGCAUUGUGGUGUGUAUAUUCAGCUCACAGAGUUAAACCUCUCUUUAAAUUCAGCAGAUUGGAAAUAUUUCCAUUGUUUCAGCAGGUAGGAAACACUCUUUUUGUAGAAGCUACAAAGGGACAUUUCAGAGCCCACUGAGACCUAUUAUAAAAAAUUGACUAUCUGACAAUAAAAACUAGAAAUAAGCUAUCAUCUGUGAAACUGCUUUGUAACAUUUGGAUUGAGCUCACAGAAUUAAAACUUUCCCUCGAUUCAGAAGGCUGGAACUACUCUUUUUGUAGAGUCUGCAAUGGAAUAUUUUGGAACCCACUGAGGCCUAUGAAGAAAAACUGAAUAUCCUUGAACAAAAAAUAGUAAGAAGCUUCAGUUAAGCUGAUUUGUGAUGUGUGUAUUCAGCUCACACAUUAAACCUUUCUUCUGAUUUAGUAGGUUAAAAAUACUCUUCUUGUAGCAUCUACAUGGGGACAUUUCAGAGCCCACUGAGUCCAAUAGUGAAAAAAUGAAUAUCCCAUGAUAACUAGAAAGAAGCUAUCUGUGAAACUGCUUUGUGAUGUGUGCAUUCCUCUCACAAAGUUAAAUUUUUCUUUUGAUUCAGCAGAUGGGAAAAACUCUUUUUAUGUAAUGUGUGAGUGGACAUUUCAGACCCCCUGAGAUGAGUAAUGAAAAACAAUAUUCUAUGAUAAAAUCGAGAAAGAAGCUAUCUGUGAAACCGUUUUGUGAUGUGAAGAUUUACCUCACAGAUUGAAACCUUUUUUUGGAUUCAGUGCAUUGGAAACACUCUAUUUGUAGAGUCUGUGAUGGGACAUUUCAGAGCCCACUCACACCUAUCGUGAAAAACCAAAUAUUCUGUGAUAAAAGCUAGAAAGAAGUUACCUGUGAAACUGCUUUGUGAUGUGUGGAUUCAGCUCGGAGAGUUAAACUAUUCUUUUCAUUCAGCAGCAGGUGGAAAACAUUCUUCUUGUAAAAUCUGUGAAAAGACAUUUCAGACACCCCUGAGACCAAUAGUGAAAAACUGUAUAUCCUGUGAUAGAAACAAGAAAGAAGCUAUUUGUGAAAGUGCUUUGAGAUGUGUGGAUUCAGCUCACAGAGUUAAACCUAUCAUUUGAUACAACAGGUUGGAAACCCUCUUCUGACAGUAUCUGCAAAGGUACAUUUCAGAACUCAAUUUGGCCUAAUAGUGAAAAACUGAAUAUUCUGCUAUAAUUAAUAGAAAGAAGCUAUCUUGAAACUGCCUUGUGAUGUGUAAGUUCUGCUCACAGAAAAACUUUUCUUUAGAUUCAGCACAUUAGAAACACUCUUUUUGUAGAAUCUGUGAAUGGACAUUUCUGAGCCUACUGAAACCUAUAGUGAAAACAGAAUAUCUUGUGAUAUAAACUAGAAAGAAGCUAUUUGCAAAACUCCCCUGUGAUGUGAUUGUACAGUUCAAAGAGUUAAAUCUUUCUUUUGUUCAGAAGGUUGGAAGAGCUUUUUUUACAGAAACUGCUUUGGAGCCCACUGAGACCUGUAGUAAAAACUGAAUAUGCCAUCAUAAAAACUAGAAGGAAGCUCUCUGUGAAACUGCUUCCUGAUGUGUGCAUUCAGCGAACAGAGUUAAACCUGUCUUUGGAUUCAGUAGAUUAGAAACACUCUACCGGUAGAAUCUGCGAGGGGACAUUUUGGAGACGUUUGAAGCCUAUAGUGAAAAACAGAAUAUCCCGUGAUAUAAACUAGAAGGAAGCUAUCUGUGAAACUGCUUUGUGAUGUGUGAAUUCAUUUCACAGAGUUAAAACUUUCUUUUGAUUCAGCAGCUUGAAACACUUUAUUUGUAGAAUCUGCGAAUAGACAUUUUGGAGAACACUGACACCUUUAGUGAAAAACAGAACAUCCCGUGAUAAUAACUGGAAAGAAACUAUCUGUUAAACAGUUUUGUGAUAUUUGGAUUCAGUUCACAGAGUUACAUUGUUUUUGAUUCAGCAGGUUGAAUCACUCUUUUAGUGGAAUCUGUGAGUAUGCAUUUCAGAGCCGACUGAGGCCUUUAGUGAAAAACGGAAUAUGUCACAAUAAAAAGUAGAAAGAAUUUAUCUGUAAAACUGCUUUAUGAUGUGUAGAUCGUGCACACAAAGCUAAACUUUUUUUUUUUUUUGAUUCAGUAGAUUGUAAACACUGUUUUUUGUAGAAUCUUCCAAGGGACAUUUGGAGCCAUCUGCGGCCUAUAGUAAAAGACAAAAUACCCCAUGAUAAAAACUAGAAAGAAGCUAUAUGUGAAACUGCUUAGUGAUCAGUGGAUUCAGGUCACAGAGCUAAACCUUUCUUUUGAUUCAGUAGGUUGGAAACCCUCUUAGUAUCUUGGAAGGGACAUUUCAGAGCCCACUAAGGAGUAUAGUGAAAAAACGAAUAUCCCAUGAUAAAACUAGAAAGAAGCUAUCUGUGAAACUGCUUUGUGAGGUGUAGAUUCAACUUACAGAGUUAAACCUUUCUUUUGACUCAGCAACUUGUAAAAACUCUUUUUGUAGAAUCUGGGAAGGAAUAUUUUGGAGCCCACAGAGGCCUACAGUGAAAACAAAAUACCCCGCAGUAAAAACUAGAAGGAAGCUGUCUCUAAAACUACUUUGUGGUUUGUGGGUUUACCUAACAGAGUUAAACCUUUCUUUUGAUUUAGCAGGUUGUAAACACACCUUUUGUAAAAUCUGCAAAUUUACAUUUUGGAGCAAACUGAGUCCUAUAGUGAAAAAACAAAAAAUCCCAUGAUAAAAACUGGAAAGAACCUAUCUGUGAAAACUUGUGAUGUGUGCAUUCAGUUCACAGUGUUAAACUUUUCUUUUGAUUCAGCAGGAUGGAAACAGUCUCUUUGUGCAAUCUGUGAAUGGAUAUUUCUUAGCACAAAGAGGUCUACAGUUAAAAACUGAAAAUCUUGUGAUAAAAACUAGAAAGAAGCUAUCUAUGGAACUGCUUUGUCAGGUGCAGGUUCAACUCACAGAGGUUGGAAACAGUCUUAUUUUCAAAUCUGCGAAGGGACACUUUGAAGGCCACUGAGGCCUAUAGUGAAAAACCAAAUAUCCAAUGAAAACAACUAGGAAGAAUCUACCUGUGAUGUGUGGACUCAGCUCACAAACUUGUACAUUUCUUUUGAUUAGCAGGCUGAAAACACUUUUUUUUAGAGUCUGUGAAUAGACAUUUCGAAGCCCACUGAGGGCUAUGAUGAAAAGCAGAAAGAACCCAUCUGAAACUGCUUUGUGAUGUAUGGAUUCAGCUCACAAAGUUAAACUUUCCUUUUGAUUUUCUGGUUUAGUAAACACACUUUUUGUGGUAUAUGCAAAGGGACAUUUCAGAGCUUUCUGAGGCCUAUAGUGAAAAAGUGAAUAUCCCAUGAUAAAAACCUUAAAGAAGCUAUAUCUGUGAAACUGCUUUGUGAUAUGUGGAUUCAGGUCAAAGAGAUAAACCUUUCUUUUGAUUCAACAGGUUGGAAAAACUCUUUUUGUAGAAUCUGCAAAGGGGCAUUUCAGGGGCCAAAGAUGACUACAGUGUAAAACUGAAUAUCCCCUGAUGCAAACUACAAAGAAACUACCUGUGAAACUGCUUUGUGAUGUGUGCAUUCAGUUCACAUAGUUAAACCUGUCUUUUGAUUCCGCAGGUUGGAAACACUCUUUUUGUAGAGUCUGUGAAAUGCCAUUUUGCAGCCCACUUCAGGCCUAUAGAGAAAAACCAAAUAUCCCGCAAUAAAAACUAGAAAGAAGCUAUCUUUGAAACUGCUUUUGAUGUGUUGAUUCAGCUCACAGAGUUAAACCUUUCUUUUGAUUCAACAGGUUGGAAAAACUCUUUUUGUAGAAUCUGCAAAGAGACAUUUCAGAGCCCAUUGAAACCUAUAGUGAAAAACCAAAUAUCCCG